rnacentral:rRNA from 1 species
UACAGAGGUCUCAAGCGUUGUUCGGAUUCAUUGGGCGUAAAGGGUGCGUAGGCGGCGCGGUAAGUCGGGUGUGAAAUCUCGGAGCUUAACUCCGAAACUGCAUUCGAUACUGCCGUGCUUGAGGACUGGAGAGGAGACUGGAAUUUACGGUGUAGCGGUGAAAUGCGUAGAUAUCGGGAGGAACACCAGUGGCGAAGGCGGCUUCCUGGCCUGUCUUGACGCUGAGGCGCGAAAGCUAGGGGAGCAAACGGG